rnacentral:lncRNA from 1 species
CAAGCAUAACUUGGGUGCUCAAUCUAUUGUCACUCUGGGAGAUCGCAUGGUAAGUUCAACCGCUUUUUCUUCAAUUAUUUGAGUUUCAGAAUUUUAAUUUAUUGUGCAUUUCUUCUAAUUUCUAAUGUUUUUUUUAAUUUAUGUUUUUUUUCAAGGCGGAAGAAAAUGAUGGCGAGCCGGUUGAUGAUCUCGCCCUAAU